GAUGAAGAACGCAGCGAAAUGCGAUAAGUAAUGUGAAUUGCAGAAUUCAGUGAAUCAUCGAAUCUUUGAACGCACAUUGCACCCGCCAGUAUUCUGGCGGGCAUGCCUGUUCGAGCGUCAUUUCAACCAUCAAGCCCCCCGGCUUGUGUUGGGGACCUGCGGCUGCCGCAGGCCCUGAAAAGCAGUGGCGGGCUCGCUGUCACACCGAGCGUAGUAGAUCUCAUCUCGCUCAGGGCGUGCUGCGGGUUCCGGCCGUUAAACCACCUUCAUAACCCAAGGUUGACCUCGGAUCAGGUAGGAAGACCCGCUGAACUUAAGCAUAUCAAUAAGCGGAGGA
rnacentral:misc_RNA from 1 species